rnacentral:rRNA from 1 species
UUGGCCUCAAAUCAGGUAGACA